UACGAAGGGGGCUAGCGUUGUUCGGAUUUACUGGGCGUAAAGCGCACGUAGGCGGAUCUUUAAGUCAGGGGUGAAAUCCUUGGGCUCAACCCAAGAAUUGCCUUUGAAACUGUAUAGCUAGAGUGUCGGAGGGGAUAGCGGAAUUGCUAAUGUAGAGGUGAAAUUCGUAGAUAUUAGCAGGAACACCGGUGGCGAAGGCGGCUAUCUGGACGACAACUGACGCUGAGGCGCGAAAGCGUGGGGAUCAAACAGG
rnacentral:rRNA from 1 species